AUACUUACCGGGUGCGCUGCCCCGUUGAUCAGCGAAGACGAGCCCCCAUGGGGAGGCGCGGGCAUUGCACUGCGCUCCCGUUCACCCCGGCCACUACCCCAAACUAAGGCAGCUGGGGCACGCAAAUUGC
rnacentral:snRNA from 1 species